CCAAAUGUAAUUUUUUGUACAGAAUUUAAACUUAAUUAUUUGUGAAAUCACCGGUAUUUAAACCAGUAUUCAUCUUUCUACUGUAUUUUUAAAUAUUUGAAUGACUUCCUCAUGAUUAAUUGGAAUGUCUGGCUUGAUGGAGAGUAGCAGAAGGUCAGAGAGCCUCUCAUCAGUACAUAGACUUCGAAGACUGGAUUUCAGAAGUUUUGACUUUGAAAAUGACCUCUCAACCCUAGAAGUGGAUUCUGUGUCAGCAGAAAGGGGAGUCCUCACAACAUGCUGUCUAGUCAUGGUCCUCAUGAGUAUAG